rnacentral:rRNA from 1 species
AACGAACGCUGGCGGCAGGCCUAACACAUGCAAGUCGAGCGCCCUCGCAAGAGGGAGCGGCGGACGGGUGAGUAACGCGUGGGAAUUUUCCUCAAGGUACGGAACAACUCAGGGAAACUUGGGCUAAUACCGUAUGAUGUCUAGCGACCAAAGAUUUAUCGCCUUGGGAUAAGCCCGCGUCAGAUUAGGUAGUUGGUGGGGUAACGGCCUACCAAGCCUGCGAUCUGUAGCUGGUCUGAGAGGACGAUCAGCCACAUUGGGACUGAGACACGGCCCAAACUCCUACGGGAGGCAGCAGUGGGGAAUCUUGCGCAAUGGGCGAAAGCCUGACGCAGCCAUGCCGCGUGAAUGAUGAAGGUCUUAGGAUUGUAAAGUUCUUUCGCCCGUGACGAUGAUGACGGUAACGGGAGAAGAAGCCCCGGCUAACUUCGUGCCAGCCGCCGCGGUAACAC